rnacentral:lncRNA from 1 species
CAAACAUUCCAUGUUAACUAGAGGUUCCCCAUGCAAGAGAUCAAAUGAGGUUUGGGUGGUUUUCACAAAUUUGAGCUUUCCAAACCUCUGAGCCUCUUGCUUUCAACCCCAACUCCUUUCCCACCAACCACGUCCUUCUGGCUCGAGUUGUGACCCCAUCCUCUCCCUGUACUAGUUCUAAAAAUAGGUUGUUAUUCCACAUCAAAAUACUGUUUAUAAUUUCCAACACAUUAAAGUUUCAGAGUUAUUCACAAAGACCACAUCACAGAAACUAUGAACAGCCCAGAAAGGGCAAGGGUAACAACCAAGAGUUACCAGAAUGACUAAUACUGACCAGAUCCCAAACAAAUCAAGCCAGACAUAUGAGGGUCACGCUUGAGGUAUGCAAAUCUUUUGAUUCGCUUGGGUGUUUGUUCCCUUGUGCAGGUGGUUUGUCGUGAUUGCAGGGGCACAAAUGGUGAAUUGCAGCCUAUUUGAAAGAAUGGUGGGAUGGCUAGUAUAAUGGCAUGUCAUAAGUAUGCAUAAAGGAAGGGGCUGUAGAAAGCUAGUAGAUUAGCUUCAUGCGUGUAUUCUGAAUUUGGAGCUAAACAUUUGUUAUGUAAUAUUGUUUUUUUCUAGAGGAAGGGUGGGGUUUUGUCUGUGUGUAUUUUUGGCCUCUUUGAGAAUUGAACACUCUUUUUUCCUUCAUUAGGUUUUUAUCCUACUGGGUUUUUCCUAAUAAGAUUUUAUUGAAACUCAUUCUCAAAGAUCUCUAAUGGCCAUAGUGGAGGGUUUCAUAUGUUUUGAGGCAAUGUUUCUGGACCGGUGAUCUCUUUGCUCCCUUUGAGGCUUUUUAAUAUAUAUUUGAUUCAGCUUUCAAAUAAAAAACAAAUAGAAACAGAUAUGGUGACAAGCUAUGAAAGUUAUCAUUAGCACCAUAGAUAAGAGAAAUGGAACAGAGCCAAGAAACAUUAAAUUUCUAAGGUAGUGUUUCGCCAGUUUUUUUUUUACUUUUAAGUUACUUUUAAGAUAAGUUAGGUCAAACAUAAUUUUUAAAAAGCUCUAAAAAUUAAAGUUACUUAUUUUUUACAACAUAAAAUAGAAAUAAGUAACUUUUAAGAAAAAAAAGUUAUGGAGAUGAGCUUUUUACUUAUA